UACGGGGGGGGCAAGCGUUGUUCGGAAUUACUGGGCGUAAAGGGCUCGUAGGCGGCCUUCUAAGUCAAACGUGAAAUCCCUCGGCUUAACCGGGGAACUGCGUCUGAGACUGGAUGGCUUGAAUCCGGGAGAGGGAUGCGGAAUUCCAGGUGUAGCGGUGAAAUGCGUAGAUAUCUGGAGGAACACCGGUGGCGAAGGCGGCAUCCUGGACCGGCAUUGACGCUGAGGAGCGAAAGCCAGGGGAGCAAACGGG
rnacentral:rRNA from 1 species